rnacentral:lncRNA from 1 species
AUGGGAGGCCCAACUGGUAGUAGUGGGAGAUCCAAAAGUGGGAUUUUGGGGGGGAAAAUACACCUCAAAAAUGCCCGAUUUUGGGGUUUUUUGACCCAUUUUGGUCAAUGGGAAGAAGGGAGAUCCAACCAGUGCUUUUUUGGGGGAAACACACCUCAAAAGUGCCCGAUUUUGGGGUUUUUUGCCCCAUUUUGGCCAACGAAAAGAUGGGAGGCCCAACUGGUAGUAGUGGGAGAUCCAACGAGUGGGAUUUGGGGGGGAAACACACCUCAAAAGUGCCCGAUUUUGGGGUUUUUUGCCCCAUUUUGACCAACGAGAAGAUGGGAGACCCAAGUAAUGUUGGGAGAUCCAACGAGUGGGGUUUGGUGGGAAAACACACCUCAAAAGUGCCCAAUUUUGGGGUUUUUUGCCCCAUUUUGCCCAACCAGAAGACGGGAGAGCCAACCAGUGGCGUUCUGGGGAAAAACCACAUUUUAGGAUCGCCCGAUUUUGGGGUUUUUUACCCAUUUUUGGCCAAUGAGAAGACGGGAGACCCAACCAGUGGCGUUCUGGGGAAAAAACACAUUUUAGGAGUGCCUGAUUUGGGGGUUUUUUGCCCCAUUUUGACCAACGAGAAGAUGGGAGACCCAUGUAAUGUUGGGAGAUCCAACGAGUGGGGUUUGGUGGGAAAACAUACCUCAAAAGUGCCCAAUUUUGGGUUUUUUCACCCUUUUUUGCCCAACGAGAAGAUGGGAAACCCAACUGGUAGCA